ensembl:lncRNA
GGAUGGAUGGAUGGAUGUGGAUGUGGAAGAAGGGAGGGAGAGAGGCGCUCGGCAGAGCCACUCAGUCUAGACUCCAGAUGUGCAGGCAGCAGCGGUGUGGCUGUCUUGGCCCCCACCAGGCUGCUCGGGGAGUAUCCCCGGCGCAAGUCCCCACGCCGCCUGUAAAUCAGCCCAGCCAGGCCUCAGGCAGCACCGCAGCCACAAAACCCCUCCGCCCGGACCCCCAGAAAAACGGGGGGCCGGCCAGCGACAGACGGACGCCGAGGAGCCCGCUGCGCCGCGUUCGGCCCGUAAAAGUCUCCCUUCGUUGCAACGUGAGAUAGAAUGGCCUCGUUCCCCUUGCACACCUUUUUUUGUUUGUUUUUUUUGCUUUCUUAAGUGUGUGUUUGCGUGCAUGUGUAAGUGUUCCUAUAAAUGCAGAUGAGGCACAACAUCAGGGUACGGCUGCCCGUAGAUCAGAGGGGAAUGCAGCUCGGUGUCAUAAACGCUGCCGUCUCUCCUUAUUUAGAUCCACCACAGCCCGUCUGCUGCUCCGCUCCCCAGUCUCACUGGCACCAGGGCAUGCCUGCAAUGGCACACUGCUUCCCAGGCUUCCCAUCAACUCAACCAUCCACAGAGAACAUUCACGCAACUACAGAUUGUGUGUGUGUGUGUGUGUGUGUGUGUCUGCGUGAUCCUUUCCCAUCAGAGCUCAACACAUAAUUAGAAGUUGGACUGGGAGGCCCGCCCCAUAUAUAGUAAGUAAUGCAGACCGCAAACAUGCAGUUAAAACCAGAUUUCUUAUUGUAAUCCGUCAGACCAGAGUGAGCUAUUUUAAAAGGGGGGAGGGGGCGGGGGAGUCUUUCAGUGGGUCACAGUGCAGCGUUUAACACAUCCAAGUCCAUGCGAGCAGAAUGAGCAUGUGGAAGAGGAGGAGGAGGCCUGUGUGUGUCUGUGUGUGUGUGUGUGUGUGUGUGUGUGUGUGUGUGUGUGUGUGUGUGUGUGUGUUUCCAAACCAAUCCGGAGCUAUUGUGCAAAGUGCUAAAGUCAACGCUUCAGUCAGCUGUUCAAACAGGUAGUGUGGAAACGUUGGAGCGGCGUUUCAGUUGAUCCGCCUGCAGACAUCCUCUGAACAAACAGGUGAGCGUAGGGGAAGGGGAAAAAAAAUGCAGAGGUCAGUGUGUUUGUGUGUGUGUGUGUGUGUGUGUUGGUGGGUGGAGAGGGGGAUUAGGAAUUGAAUGCUUCAUGAAUCAAUGAAUAUAGCUCUUACCAGAUACUAUGCAUCUAUAUAAAACAGGUUGGAGUCAUGAAAGGUUCAUCAAGAAAGUCUCCAAAUAGAAUUAUUUUACAAAAGUCAAUGGCUCCACCGCGGCUGGUUUUAUUUUGACAUUGUAAUACUUCAGCUGACGAAAAUACAAAAAUAUAAUAUAUCUAAAAAGGCCUACAAACGUGUUGCAACAGAAUAAUUUAUUAAAUAGCAUAAUAGGCAACAUUUUCAUCAAAAUCAAUCAUCAGAUCAGAGAUGAAAGUGGAAAAAAGUUUGUUGACAUUUGACAGCUUUUGAUUCUCAAUGACAUGGAUGAAUUCCAGGCCCAAAAAAAAUCAUUGAGGUUCAAUGUUGUGACAAUGGUAAACUUUGCACUAUUUUCUUUCAUUUCUAUCAUAUAUCACCAGCUCCACUUUCACCACUUUUAUUUCAUCGUCUACUGAGCAUACAGUUCAUAUUUUGAAUACUUAUCUGGUUUCGAGCUAAAGGUCAAGGCUACAACUUAACCCCCACUUAUGGUCGUUUUCAUUCCGUGCAGGUGGCCACUGGGACCACGGGAGCAACACAAUUCAAAGCAAACUUCCAGGAGCCGGGCGGUUAAAAACUUUGCAUGUUAGUGAGAGGAAGCCUGAAGAGCAGGAUUCUGAUACCUCAAGACCUGCGAGUACUAAUCCAACACUUGUUUUUGGUACUCCUCACUGCAAGGCACUCGUCAACGUAUUUAUUUCAGGAAAUACAAGUCCGUGGAUUACUGAGUUACUGUGACUGGAUUUGUGUAACCGAGGACUUGCUAACUGAUGAAUUCUAUAAACCCAUAUUUAAGUUGGAAUGGUCAUGACACGGUCAAUACUAGAUCUCUUCAGAUCGGGUAAGCUGGGUUGGUGUAUUGAAUUCACAGUGCAAACACAAACAAGGGCGUCAUAGUAAAAAAGCUCAUUUCACUUUAGCUGAGAGUAGUUAAAAAUGCAAUCCCUACGGCAUUUAGCUUCUGCAUUGAAGUGCAUUACCAUGGAAAGACAACAAAGCUUUGACAAAACCAAAGCCUCAUGGAUGGCGAGUCUCACGUGAGCACGGCCUAAUCUCCCCGGAACAAUCACGUUACCUGGAUAAUUGAACAUGGCAUCAUUGCGGCGUCCAAGUGCGAAAGCGGCUUUAGUUUCCUCACUCGCCGUGAGACGGGUUUCAGCCGUAACACUGGGUGUGUUGCUCCUGCGGAGCUGCGGUCGGUCGCGGCGGGUUAGCUUUGGGCGCACACACACGUAUAGACACACACACACACACACGUCUCCAUGGGUGUGAUCCCACGCCAGGGUCACAACUAGAGGAGAUGGAGAGCGAUACUGUAAAGAUAAGGGCUGAACAAACACACACCGUGGGGCAAAACGCAGGAACCAAAACCUAGAAACGCUGAGUCACUUGAGUUCCCCGGGCUGUUAUGUUCCCGGCUCGGUGUUGACAUCCAAGGGAGGGGUGACGAGCUGGUUACAACAACACCAUCGCCAGGAGCACCGCGAAGCCCACUGUCUGCCCGUGACUAUGACGGGGGGCUAUUUUGGCGAGGCCCUUCUGGUCAGUCACGGUGAAGCACAGAGGCCUCCGGCGACUAAGCGCUGCACCUGCCUCUCUUUCAGGGUAACUCCAGCACGCUGAAACGAGGGGAAGGGGGCCGAGGGGGCCGUAUUAAAGAAAAAGGAAUUUUCAAGGACGGGGGGAAGAUGUUGUGAAAUCAUAUUGCGCAUGUGGCCCCGCACAGCUGCAGAGGGAGUGAAUCGCUCCAUGUGUAACGGCAUGAAUCACCAGAGUUUCUCAGAAGUCAGUUCACGCUUUCAACUUUCUCUCUCUCGCUCGCUCUUCCUGUACCUCUCACAAGCGCCUCCCUCUCCUCUGUUUUCCACACCUCGCCUUGUUUAUCACAGGUGCAAGCAGUGAAGUAAGCCGCCUAGAGUAUCCACGUAUGCGAUCCCCGAUCACACGCCGAUCUCACAGCCGUCCACACACGCUCGCAAACAAGAAAAACACACACCGCAGUAUCACAAUGAACAAUGCGGAGGGCAUCCAAAGUCUCUUCAUCAGCAUGAAGAUCAUGUGGCACAA